GCGCUUGUAGCUCAACCGGAUAGAGCAUCGGCCUUCUAAGCCGACGGUUGCAGGUUCGAGUCCUGUCGGGCGCACCA
rnacentral:tRNA from 1 species